UUUAAAUAUUUGCCAAUCUUAUGUUUACAUGCUCCUCAAUACCAGAUAUAUAUAUAUAUAUAUAUGUCAUCGUAAGCUCUUAAUUUUAUGUCACUUUUCUGAAACUGGCGUACCACCUUGGCGCGCCAGCGUGGAGAGGACACGCGAAAAGACUAACCUAUCCCUGUGAGAGCGGCUAAACCCUAGGAAGGAAAAUAUCGAUCUCAUCCCUCUCAGUCCGGUCGCCGCCCGUGCGAGAGAGCGACGAGGACGCGCAUCGCCGCCGAAGCUGGAAAUCGUGCUUCGCCGCCGAAGCUGGAAGCCGCGCGUCGCCGCCGAAGCUGCCUGCCGCCGCCAGCCGCCCACGAAGCUGCCUGCCGCCGAAGCUGGAAGCCUGAAGCCGCGCAUCGCCGUCUGCCGUCCGGGCGCCGCGCGUCGCCACCUCCCGUCCGGGCGCCCAUCCGCACGCCGGCGGUGACCUGGCCGGCCUCUACGUCCACUGAAUGGGCCGGCCGCCCUCCCUCACUCUUUGGAAACUGGUUGUUGUUCCUGUUUGGUAAGUUAUUUACAGAGAUUUUCUAGUGACGAAUCCGUCGGAUUGCCCUGCUUGGUAAGUUAAAAUUUUUCUGGCCCCUGUGUUGCAUGUAUGUGGAGUUAGAUAUCUUCUAACUCCAAACUUUUGGGGUUCUUUUUGUCAGGAUCGAUCCUAGCAAUACAUUUAGAGUUGUUGUUAAGUGUGCUCGGUAUGUAGCAAAUCUAGAGUAUGUAUUGAUUAAUAUGGCAAAGCAAGAGCAUGACUGGUGGAUUGAUAGAUGCAAGAGCAUGACCGGUGGAUUGAACAAUUAUAUUCUUUCAUAUGUUCUUUUUCAAACUGAACCUAGCCUUUGUACUAUUACUUACACCCAUCACACAUAACAGAAGGUUGGCACUAGAUUCUAUUCAAAGCACUUGUAACACCAGUUCAUGAAGCAGUAGCAGUGCAACCACAUAAGAAGCUUACACCCAGGAAGAAACUAGCUAGCAAGAAGAAGGAAAAUGCUUCACCAACUAAGCUACUGAACUGAAAGUGCAGGCCAAUUCUGGAGAUAUUUUGUGAUGAAUGUGGCCUUGUAUGGUGCUAUGAAGCUUUUUUGGAAGUGACUUGAAUAUGACGGUGUCUAGGAUGUCUUAUUUGUUAUGUGAAGUGUUGUAAUGAACUGAAGCAGUAUGUGACAUGGUGCUAUGAAGCUCUUUUUGGAAGUGAAUUUAAUUUGAUGGUGCCUAGUAUGGCUUGUUUUGUUAUGUAAUAUAGUGUAAUGAACUCAAUCAAUAUGUGACAUGUUGCUGAGGUAUUUCUAUUUUAUUGCUUUUGUAUAUUUGUGUGGCCUUGUCUGUGACAAGAUCAAACUUAUGUUGAACUAUUUGUGUAUGACUUAUUAUGGGAUAUGAUUAACCUGAUGAAUAUGGUGUUCAAUUA